AAAUGAAUAGACGGGGACCCGCACAAGUGGUGGAGCGUGUUCUUUAAUUCGAUGAUAAGCGAAGAACCUUACCAGGGCUUGACAUCCUUGGAAUCUCUGCGAAAGCAGAGAGUGCCUUUUGGAACCAAGUGACAGGUGUUGCAUGGCCGUCGUCAGCUCGUGUCGUGAGAUGUUUGGUUAAGUCCAUUAACGAGCGCAACCCUUAUGAUUAGUUGGAUUUUUCUAAUCAGACUGCCUCGGUAACGGGGAGGAAGGAGGGGAUGAUGUCAGGUCAUUAUUACCCUUACGUCCUGGGCUAGAAACGCGCUACAAUGGCCGGUACAGAGGGCUGCCAACCCGCGAGGGGGAGCAAAUCCCAUCAAAACCGGUCCCAGUUCGGAUUGCAGGCUGAAACUCGCCUGCAUGAAGCCGGAAUCACUAGUAAUCGUGGGUCAGCACACCACGGUGAAUACGUUCCCGGGUCUUGUACACACCGCCCGU
rnacentral:rRNA from 1 species